rnacentral:lncRNA from 1 species
UAGGCUGCGACGGAUACGUUACUACUCAAUUCAAUUUUUGUGUGUUUGGCACUAUAAAAAGUGAACUAAAAUACAGUUGUGUGCUCUUAAUAGUCGUGUGCUCUUAAUAAAUAACAUUUGGAGCUGCUCUGUAAAAUGAAUACCCAGAAACCAAAUCUAACAUGGAAUGAUGACGAAAAAUCAUCACGGAAUGGUGACCAAAAAUCGACCUCGCCAGUCAAAGAAGAUAAAAAACCAGUUGACCAGGUCAGACCGCCACGAUGGAAGCGUGCAGGAAAAAAAUGCCAAAAAAACAAAGAAGACGCUGAAAAACGGCUCCAAUUCCUUUUGAAACAAUUAUCGACUCCCCGUCGAUAUAAUUAAAAAAGCGAUCUCAUUCAGAAAAAAUAAUCUUUAUUCUUAAUGAGGGAAGAGGACAUCGAGUUAUGAACUCCCACUUCGCGUGCUUAUAACCGAACGCCCAUCAAGUCAUUUACAUACCAUAAAGUUCACAUUAAACUGAGUAGUGCAGUGGUGAGUGAGUUAGUCUCCCGCCUAUUCUGCUCUGGGUUCAAGUCCUGCCUAAACAGAAUAGUUUAGGCAAAAGUGUUUUUUUUUUUUUUUUCAUUUUUGUUUCAUUAUAUUAUUGAAAUUUAUAAAAUCAUUUACGCGCUUUUAUUGAAAUCACGAAUUGAAUGUCAAAUUAAUUUUUUUGAAUUUUGCAAUUUUUCUAACCCUACUGACUUGGAAAUUAAAAUACCCAUCAGAGUGUACUCGGAAAAAGACAUUUAUCAAAAAAUAAUUUAAUUUAAAAUGUUCCCUGCCUCAUUGAAAGAGAUAUCGAAAAAAAAUGGAAUAAAAUUUUUAAAACAAAUUUUUUGAAAAAUCGUUUUAUUAUACAUCAAAGUUGUUUUAAUAACGAGUCCAUUAUUUCUAAUCAGCAACAAUACUGCUUUGGGA